rnacentral:rRNA from 1 species
CUACCCAUGAGCAGGAUGAAGCGAAAGUAAAAUUUCGUGGAGGUCCGAACCCACGAGCGUUGAAAAGCUCGGGGAUGACUUGUGGGUAGCGGUGAAAUUCCAAUCGAGCCCGGAGAUAGCUGGUUCUCCCCGAAAUAGCUUUAGGGCUAGCCUCAAGGUGAGAGAUACGGAGGUAGAGCACUGAAUGUCCUAGGGGGUAUUGCACCUACCGAAGACUAUCAAACUCCGAAUGCCGUCAUCUUAUACUUGGGAGUCAGACUGUGGGUGAUAAGAUUCAUAGUCGAAAGGGCAACAGCCCAGAUCGUCAGCUAAGGUCCCUAAAUGUAAGUUAAGUGGUAAAGGAUGUGGGAUUGCACAGACAACCAGGAUGUUGGCUUAGAAGCAGCCACUCAUUCAAAGAGUGCGUAAUAGCUCACUGGUCGAGUGAUCCUGCGCCGAAGAUUUCCGGGGCUAAAACUUACUACCGAAGCUACGGCAUCAGUAAGGAUGGGUAGGGGAGCUUCCCAUAUGGGUUGAAGCAUGACCGUAAGGACAUGUGGACAGUAUGGGAGUGAGAAUGUUGGCAUGAGUAGCGAGAUGUGGGUGAGAAUCCCACAGGCCGUAAACCCAAGGUUUCCAGGGGAAGGUUCGUCCGCC